rnacentral:rRNA from 1 species
UGCAGUCGAGCGGGGAAGGUAGCUUGCUACUGGACCUAGCGGCGGACGGGUGAGUAAUGCUUAGGAAUCUGCCUAUUAGUGGGGGACAACAUUCCGAAAGGAAUGCUAAUACCGCAUACGUCCUACGGGAGAAAGCAGGGGACCUUCGGGCCUUGCGCUAAUAGAUGAGCCUAAGUCGGAUUAGCUAGUUGGUGGGGUAAAGGCCUACCAAGGCGACGAUCUGUAGCGGGUCUGAGAGGAUGAUCCGCCACACUGGGACUGAGACACGGCCCAGACUCCUACGGGAGGCAGCAGUGGGGAAUAUUGGACAAUGGGGGGAACCCUGAUCCAGCCAUGCCGCGUGUGUGAAGAAGGCCUUAUGGUUGUAAAGCACUUUAAGCGAGGAGGAGGCUACUAGUAUUAAUACUACUGGAUAGUGGACGUUACUCGCAGAAUAAGCACCGGCUAACUCUGUGCCAGCAGCCGCGGUAAUACAGAGGGUGCGAGCGUUAAUCGGAUUUACUGGGCGUAAAGCGUGCGUAGGCGGCCAUUUAAGUCAAAUGUGAAAUCCCCGAGCUUAACUUGGGAAUUGCAUUCGAUACUGGAUGGCUAGAGUAUGGGAGAGGAUGGUAGAAUUCCAGGUGUAGCGGUGAAAUGCGUAGAGAUCUGGAGGAAUACCGAUGGCGAAGGCAGCCAUCUGGCCUAAUACUGACGCUGAGGUACGAAAGCAUGGGGAGCAAACAGGAUUAGAUACCCUGGUAGUCCAUGCCGUAAACGAUGUCUACUAGCCGUUGGGGCCUUUGAGGCUUUA